rnacentral:ncRNA from 1 species
ACCAAGGAGUCUAACAUGUGCGCGAGCCGAGGGGCAGUACGAAACCCGUAAGGCGAAAUGAAGGUGAACGCCGGCGCGGUCCGGCGGAGGUUGGAUCCCGUCCCGUCGGGGCGGGCGCACUACCGGCCGAUCUUCUCCGCCCUGUCGGCGAGGUCGAGCGAGAGCGUGCAAGUUCGGACCCGAAAGAUGUGAACUAUGCUCUGAGAGGUUGAAG